rnacentral:lncRNA from 1 species
UGGGAAUGGUGGGAAUGUGGGAAUGGUGGGAUUGGGAAUGGUGGGAAUGGUGGGAAUGGUGGGAAUGGUGGGAAUGGUGGGAAUGGUGGGAAUGGGAAUGGGGGAAUGGGAAUGGUGGGAAUAAAGGGAAUGGGAAUGGUGGGAAUGGUGGGAAUGUGGGAAUGGGAAUGGGGGAAUAGGAAUGGUGGGAGUGGUGGGAAUAAUGCGAUUGGGAAUGAUGGGAUUUCAUGGUCCAGGAGUAGUUGGACCAGGGGCAGGGAGUCGUCGAUGCAGCUCUGGGAAUGUAGGAAUGGGAAUGGUGGGAAUGUGGCAAUGUGGGAAUGGGAUUGGGAAUGGUGGGAUUGGGAAUGAUGGGAUUGGGAAUGAUGGGAUUGGGAAUGAUGGGAUUGGGAUUUCAUGGUCCAGGAGGAGACGGACCAGGGGAAUCGUCAAUGCAGCUCUGGGAAUGUGGGAAUGGUAGGAAUGCUGGGAAUGGUGGGAAUGGGAUGGGAAUGGGAUUGGGAAUAAUGGGAAUGGGAAUGGUGAGAAUGUGGGAAUGGUGGGAAUGGGAAUGGUGGGAUUGGGAUUUCAUGGUCCAGGAGCAGCCGGACCAGGGGCAGGGAGUCAUCAAUACAGCUCUGGGAAUGCGGGAAUGGGAAUGGAAUUGGGAAUAAUGGGAAUGGGAAUGGUGGGAAUGGGAAUGGGGGAAUGGGAAUAAUGGAAAUGGGAAUGCUGGGAAUGUGGGAAUGCUGGGAUUGGGAACGGUGGGAAUAAUGGGAUUGGGAAUGAUGGGAUUGGGAUUUCAUGGUCCAGCAGGAGACGGACCAGGGGCAGGGAGUCGUCAAUGCAGCUCUGGGAAUGUGGGAAUGGGAAUGGUGGGAAUGGGAAUGGUGGGAAUGUGGGAAUGGGAAUGAUGGGAAUGGGAAAAAUGGGAUUGGGAAUGAUGGGAAUGGGAUUCAAUGGUCCAGGAGCAGCCGGACCAGGGGCAGGGAGUCGUCAAUGCAGCUCUGGGAAUGGGAAUGGUGGGAAUGUGGGAAUGGGGUUGGGAAUGGCAGGAAUGGGAUUGGGAAUGGUGGGAAUGGGAUUGGGAAUGAUGGGAAUGGGAUUGGGAAUGGUGGGAAUGGUGGGAAUGGGAUUGGGAAUGGUGAGAAUGUGGGAAUGGGAUUGGGAAUGGGAAUGGUGGGAAUUGGAAUGGUGGGAUUGGGAUUUCAUGGUCCAGCAGGAGCCGGACCAGGGGCAGGGAGUCGUCGAUGCAGCUCUGGGAAUGGGGGAAUGGGAAUGGUGGGAAUGGUGGGAAUGUGGGAAUGGUGGGAAUGGUGGGAAUGGGAAUGGUGGGAAUAAUGGGAAUGGGAUUUCAUGGUCCAGGAGCAGCCGGACCAGGGGCAGGGAGUCGUCGAUGCAGCUCUGGGAAUGCGGGAAUGGGAAUGGUGGGAAUAA